rnacentral:lncRNA from 1 species
CUCGCACCACCCCAGGGAGCCGUUGCCCGAUUCAGAGACUUGGUCUGGGGUCUAGGGCAGCAUCCGUCACAUCCACGGGCUCGAGCUCAGCUCUUCUUUUUUGCAUGCACACCAACCAGUCGAGGCCAUGGGCGCCUGUCGGUCACCGGAGCAACCAGUCGUCGGACAAAAUGGUCGGAAGGCAUGUACGCCCUGUAUUUCGCUCGAGGGACGUUACCCUGGGUGUACGCAAUGGGAGGCCCAUCACGCACACCUACUCCCCCCGUGGAGGGGGAGAGGGGGUGCCGGACCACCACCCCCUAAAGAGCAUUAGAGAUUUUACAUAUAUGCUACCAGUAGAUGUUCAAGUGUCUGAAACGGGGACACUUUUUCCAAACAGGCAUAUCCCGCACCGAGGGUGAGCAAGUGCCGAUGGUGGUUGGGGCAUGUGCUCGUACCAAGGGCCAGCGCGUACCGAUGGUGGUUGAUGCGACUGCCCACACCAAAGGCCAGCGUGUGCCGAUGGUGGUCAAGGCAACUGCCCGCACUAGAUUGAGGUAUGUGCCCACACCAAGGCUCGGCAUGUGCCGAUGGUGUUCGAGGCAACCGCCCACACCAGGGGCCAUCUUUUACCGAUGAUGGUCGAGCCAAGAGCCCGCACUAAGGGCUGACUUAUGCCCAUGGUGCUCGAGGUAACCGCCCGCACUCAGGGCCAUCUUCUGCCGAUGGUGUUCGAGGCAACCGCUCGCACCAAGGCCUAGCAUAUGCCGAUGGUGUUCGAGGUAACCGCUCGCACCAGGGGCCAGUAUGUACCGAUGGUGUUCAAGGUAAUCGCCUGCACUAGGGGCCAUCUUGUGCCGAUGGUGGUCGAGGCAAGAGCCCACACUAAGGGUCGGCUUGUGCCGAUGGUGCUUGAGGCAACCGCUCGUACGAAGGCCUAGCAUGUACCGAUGGUGUUUGAGGCAACUGCUCGCACCGAGGCCCAGCAUGUGCCGAUGGUGGUCGAGGCAACCGCCCACACCAAGGCCCAGCAUGUGCCGAUGGUGUUCGAUGCAACCGCUCACACCAGGGGCCAUCUUGUGCGGAUGGUGGUCGAGGCAACCGCCCGCUCCAAGGGUCAACUUGUGCCGAUGGUGGUCGAGGCAACCGCCCGCACGAAGGCCCGGCAUGUGCCGAUGGUGUUUGACGCAAUCGCCCGCACUAGGGGCCAUCUUGUGCUGAUGGUGGUCGAGGUAACCGCCUACACCAAGGGUCAUCUUUUGCCGAUAGUGGUUGGGAAAACUGCCCGCACCAAGGGUCGGCUUGUGCAGUUGGUGGUCAAGGCAACCGCCUGCACCAGGGGCUAUUUUCUACCGAUUGUGGUUGAGGCAAGAGCCUGCACCAAGGGCUGGCUUACACCGAUGGUGGUCGAGGUAACUGCCCGUAGCAGGGGCCAUCUUCUAUCGAUGGUGGUCGACCAAGGCCUAGCAUGUGUCGAUGGUGGUCGAGGCAAGAGCACGCACCAAGGGUCAGCUUGUACCGAUGGUGCUCAAGGUAACCUCUCGUACCAGGGGCCAUCUUCUACCGAUGGUGAUCGAGGCAACCGCCCUCACCAUGGCCCAGCAUGUGUCGAUGGUGUUCGAGGCAACCGCCCACACCAAGGCCCAGCAUGUACCGAUGGUAGUCGAGGCAACUGCCCGCACCAAGGCCCAGCAUGUGCCGAUGGUGUUCGAUGCAACCGCCUACACCAAGGGUCAGCUAGUGCCGAUGGUGCUAGAGGCAACCACCCACACCAAGGCCCGAUAAGUGCCGAUGGUGUUUGAGGCAACUGCCUACACCAGGGGCCAUCUUUUGCCAAUGGCGGUUGAGGCACCCGCCCGCACCAGGGGCCAUCUUGUGCCGAUGGUGGUCGAGGCAACCACCCAUACCAAGGGCCGGCUAGUGUCAAUGGUGUUCGAAGCAACUGCCCACACCAAGGCUUGACAUAUGCCGAUGGUGGUCAAGGCAACUGCCCGCACCACAGCCCAGCAUGUGUCGAUGGUGUUCGAUGCAACCGCCCACACUAGGGGCCAUCUUGUGCCGAAGGUGGUCGAGGUAAUCGCCCGUACCAAGGGCCAGCUUGUGCCAAUGGUGGUAGAGGCAACCACCUGCACCAAGGUUUCGACAUGUGCCGAUGGUGAUCGAGGCAUCCGCCCACACCAGGGCCCAGCUUGUGCCGAUAGGGGUCGAGGCAAGUACCCGUACCAAAGGGCAGCCUGUGCCGAUGAUGGUCGAGGCCUUGGCCAAAGUUCAAUUUUGAGCCACGGUGCUCAUGCUGGGCUCGGGCUUGUGCUGGUGCUAUAUUUUUUUCACCCGGGGCACCAUCGUCGGAGCAUCGUCGAAGAGCCUAACCGACGGCAUUGGGGGUUUUGACGAUUGGGGGGGGCCAGGGGGUGUGCGCACAUAAUGUGCGAUGGGUGCUGGUACUUGGCCCUUAUAUUGGCCCCCUAUCCCUCAUCAAACCUCGAGAACUCACACCCCCUUAAAGAACGUUUGAGAUUUU